GACGAACGCUGGCGGCGUGCUUAACACAUGCAAGUCGAACGAUGAAGCCGGAGCUUGCUCUGGUGAAUUAGUGGCGAACGGGUGAGUAACACGUGAGUAACCUGCCCUUGACUCUGGGAUAACUGCUAGAAAUGGUAGCUAAUACCGGAUACGACACCUUGGGGCAUCCCAGGGUGUGGAAAGAAUUUCGGUCAAGGAUGAGCUAGCGGCCUAUCAGCCAGUUGGUGAGGUAAUGGCUCACCAAGGCGACGACGGGUAGCCGGCCUGAGAGGGUGACCGGCCACACUGGAACUGAGACACGGUCCAGACUCCUACGGGAGGCAGCAGUGGGGAAUAUUGCACAAUGGGCGAAAGCCUGAUGCAGCAACGCCGCGUGAGGGAUGAAGGCCUUCGGGUUGUAAACCUCUUUUAGCAGGGAAGAAGCGAAAGUGACGGUACCUGCAGAAAAAGCACCGGCUAACUACGUGCCAGCAGCCGCAGUAA
rnacentral:rRNA from 1 species